AUGUGUUCACAGGUCAUUUCCUUUCACUGGAAAUAUGUGUUUCAACUUCCUAUUACAACAGAUAAACGCUCAAGAAAACGAGAUGUUUCUGCAUUUUCUCCGGUUCCUCCCUUCUUCACCAUGUCUCUGACCAUGUCCACCGCUGUCUCUCUCAUUGCUGUCAUCCUGGGGACUGUUGAUUGUUUGAGGCCAGAGCUGAGAGUGAAUCCUACAGUCAUCAGUGUGAGACAAUCUGUUCGUCUGAGCUGUGAGCCACCGCAGGGUCUUCAUGGAGCACAGAAUAAAUGCACAUUCAUGACAAACACAAGAGGUGUCAGUGAAGACUCAGACUGUGAGGUCUCCUUCACUGGGGCUGAACUGAUUAGACUGGGAAAUGACGGACCGGAGUCUGAGAUACUCAUCUAUUGUGUGUACAUACCGGACACUGGUGGCCCCUCCCUACACAGUGUUCCAGUAAAAGUCACAGUUACUGGUUUAGAGCCACAGCUGAGAGUGAAUCCUACAGUGAUCAGUGUGAGACAAUCUAUUCGUCUGAGCUGUGAGCCACCGCAGGGUCUUCAUGAACCACAGACUAAAUGCACAUUCCUGACACACGAAUACAGUCUCAUUAAAGACUCAGACUGUAACGUCUCCUUCACUGGGGCUGAACUGAUUAGACUGCGAGGUUUCAAACCUGAGUCUGAGAUACUCAUCUCUUGUGUGUACACACUGGACACUGGUGACCCCUCCCUACUCAGUGCUGCAGUGAAAGUCACAGUUACUGAACUCGACCUCUUUUUGUGGCGCCACAUCCUCAGCGCACUGAUUAUCCUGCUAGCUCUGGUCUUCACUGUAGAACAUGUGCUCUUCACAAGGUCUCCGUCAGGGUCGCAGGGAGCCGGAGCCUAACCCGGAAACACAGGGCAAAAGGGGACGCACCCAGGAUGGGACGCCAGACCAUUGCAAGGCACCCCAAGUGGGACUCGAACCCCAGACCCACCAGAGCGGAGAACCUGGUCCAACCCACUGUGCCACCACACCCUCUAAAUGAAAAUGUAGUCUGCUCAUAAUUUCACUCAAAGCAGUUUUAUUUAUUUAUUUCCUUAUUUUUUGUUCUUAAUAAUCCAGUAUUAUUGUGUAUACAGUAGUUGUCUAUACUUGUAUUUCUCUUUAUACAUGCAGGAUAUUUCGUUCAACUGGCAAACACACAAACACACACUCACCUUGUGUUGGGAAGAUUCAUUUAAUCUGUGCUUGUAUGUUAUGGAGGAGAAGGUGUAUCUCACCCACAUUUACAUGUUCUUUCUCAGGGAGUACCACUGCUAUUUCAUUGUACUGUACAGUAGUACAAUGACAGUAAAGUCUUCAGCUCAAUUCAGUUCACACACACACACACACACACACACACACAUACAUUUGCUGAAGCCGCUUGUCUCAAGCGGGGUCACGGCAAUCUGGAGCCUAACCCGGCAACACAGGGCGUAAUUCAAUUCAAUUCAGUCUGAUUCAGUUCAAUUCAUUUCUACAUUUCAUACAGGCCACAGUCUCUGUCAAAUGCAUUCAUCUGUCUACGGAGCAACAGUAGAGUAGAGCUUUAGCUCCAGAAUUCUGCCACCGCGUCUGGCAUCUGUCCGAUGAUAAGGGGACACGUUCUGGACUUGGACAAUCUGGAGAGAAUCCCUAUGAACACUUUAUCUGACGGAGAAGCUCAACCACAGGCCUGGCCAGAGAAACACACACCACGUGGACCGUGAGCUCCUCUGUCACGAAGAACUCAAGAGGAGAACACAAUAAGACCCUGACAUGUUCUUUCAGCGGUUCGUGUUCUCAAAAGCGACAUGCAACUCAGACUCGGAGCAGCCAAGAGUUCAUCAACGACUGACAACGAGGUUUAGACGCAGACCCUGGA
ensembl:lncRNA